AGGGAAUAUUGGGCAAUGGAUGCAAGUCUGACCCAGCCAUGCCGCGUGGAGGAAGAAGGUCCUCUGGAUUGUAAACUCCUUUUGUCGGGGAAGAAGAGUCAUCUUGCGAGGUGAUGUGACGGUACCCGAUGAAUAAGCCACGGCUAACUACGUGCCAGCAGCCGCGGUAAUACGUAGGUGGCAAGCGUUGUCCGGAUUUAUUGGGUUUAAAGGGUGCGUAGGUGGUUUAUUAAGUCAGUGGUGAAAGCUGGUUGCUCAACAAUCAAGUUGCCAUUGAUACUGAUAGACUUGAGAGAAGUGGAGGUUCAUGGAAUGGAUGGUGUAGCGGUGAAAUGCAUAGAUAUCAUCCAGAACGUCGAUUGCGAAGGCAGUGGGCUGUACUUUUUCUGACACUGAGGCACGAAAGCGUGGGGAUCAAAC
rnacentral:rRNA from 1 species